CAGCACCGGGCGCCCGGGCACACGCCGCCCCCGCCCCUGUGCGCCUGCGGCUCGCCUGUCCUCCCGAGCGCCGCACUCUCCCAGGCUGGCGGCGGUUGCUCUCUCCUCGGCUCGGCCAAGAGGACAGAGAGCGCUGGGGAGAGCGACUGAGUCGGGGGACAAGUUAGGGCUUCAUCAGCUCCCCGCACUCCGGCAGCGUUGUUCCGUCUUCUGGGUGGGAUGUGCUCGCCAAAACAGUUGCGGCGGUGGCGGCGGUGGCAGCCCGGAAGGCGCUGGAGCUUUCCACCCCGCAGUGGGAGAGGAGAGGAUGGACCAGAGGACCGAGGAAAGGACUGGUGUAAGCUAGCCGGAGGAAGUCCCACGGCCACGGAGCAUCCGUCCUGAAGAAGCCUUCUCCACCCUGGACACUUUAAGCAGUGGUGGCGGUAAAAGGCGUGAGGUUGCGGACUGGGCAGCAAGCCUCCCGCGUUCCGAUGAUGCUCUGCCCUCCGGAGAAGACAAGUGAAGAAGUGUCCGGUCGGGGCGUCCACUUCAGGGAGCACCAUCUCCCCUACCGUAAGAACGUACUCAAAACGUGAACUGUCUUCCCAUACUCUG
rnacentral:lncRNA from 1 species